AAUGAACCUCGUUGCAUGUCUGAUCCUUCAGGUGACACUCUCCAAGUAAGUUUGUGAACUCCUUACUCCACUAUAAUCUCGUAAGUAUCAAGUAUGGAAGGGCUUGAGUCAUCUGAUUUACAAUAAAUCUUCUAAUAAAAUAGUAACUUUUCUGGGGAGUUUAUAUUAUUCUGGGCCUGAAUUAGGUCAAAGACUUCUAGGAUAUUGUUUGAAAACUGCUAUUAUUAUGUGCAAUUAUGACCUCAGCCUUCUUUCUUCUGAAUGCAAUUUUCUUUUUGACCUCAACUAAAAUGUUGCUAACAUCAUGUGGAAAGAGUAUGCUUAGAUGACUAGUAAAUGUAUGUUGAACUCCGUUUUAUUGAUUGUGCAUAUUUCCUUGACAAAAUCUUUUCCGUUUCUCUGGAAAUUUAAGCCCAAAAAAGCUCCUCUUUUGGCACCUUUGCUUAAAUAAUUUCACAAGUCAAAGGUGUCAAGAUUCGUUGCUAGAACUAGUUGAAUUAGAAAUCACUUUCUACAGAACUUAUGCAGGCAUGUGCUUGUAUGUGCACUUAGACAGGGGAAAGAAGGAGAGGGAGAGAGGUUGGUUUCUCCCCUCCCUAUUUUUGAUUGAUCUUUGUGCAUGCAUUGACCUUAUGGCAUGGAAUUGUAGGACUGGAUCGAAGAAAUGUCAGCUUUUGUGAAA
rnacentral:misc_RNA from 1 species